CACCAACAACAACAACAACAACAACAACAACAACAACAAUGGAAGGUUGAAAUGAGAUCAGGAAUUUUUAGCAUAUUAAUAAAACACUUUAAUAAUGAAAUUGCAACCAGACACAUAAAUACAACAAUACAUUAUACAGAAUAUACAUCACGAGGAGGAGGAGGAGGAGGAGGAGGAGGAGGAGGGGGGGAGGUGGGGAGGAGGAGGAAUCAAUACAGUAAGUUGAUUAGAUUUGCUUCAGGGACAGGCAGAGAGAGAGAGAGAGAGAGAGAGAGAGAGAGAGAGAGAGAGAGAGAGAGAGAGAGAGAGAGAGAGAGAGAGA